rnacentral:rRNA from 1 species
CCUACGGGAGGCAGCAGUGGGGAAUAUUGGUCAAUGGCCGAGAGGCUGAACCAGCCAAGUCGCGUGAGGGAAGACGGCCCUACGGGUUGUAAACCUCUUUUGUCGGGGAGCAAAGCGAGUCACGUGUGACUCAUUGAGAGUACCCGAAGAAAAAGCAUCGGCUAACUCCGUGCCAGCAGCCGCGGUAAUACGGAGGAUGCGAGCGUUAUCCGGAUUUAUUGGGUUUAAAGGGUGCGCAGGCGGAGGUGCAAGUCAGCGGUCAAAUUGCGGGGCUCAACCCCGUACUGCCGUUGAAACUGCAGCCCUUGAGUGCGCGAGAAGUAUGCGGAAUGCGUGGUGUAGCGGUGAAAUGCAUAGAUAUCACGCAGAACUCCGAUUGCGAAGGCAGCAUACCGGCGCGCAACUGACGCUCAUGCACGAAAGCGUGGGUAUCGAACAGGAUUAGAUACCCCAGUAGUC